rnacentral:rRNA from 1 species
GUGGGGAAUUUUGGACAAUGGGCGCAAGCCUGAUCCAGCAAUGCCGCGUGCAGGAAGAAGGCCUUCGGGUUGUAAACUGCUUUUGUACGGAACGAAACGGUCCGGGUUAAUACCCUGGGCUAAUGACGGUACCGUAAGAAUAAGCACCGGCUAACUACGUGCCAGCAGCCGCGGUAAUACGUAGGGUGCAAGCGUUAAUCGGAAUUACUGGGCGUAAAGCGUGCGCAGGCGGUUUUGUAAGACAGGCGUGAAAUCCCCGGGCUCAACCUGGGAAUUGCGCUUGUGACUGCAAGGCUGGAGUGCGGCAGAGGGGGAUGGAAUUCCGCGUGUAGCAGUGAAAUGCGUAGAUAUGCGGAGGAACACCGAUGGCGAAGGCAAUCCCCUGGGCCUGCACUGACGCUCAUGCACGAAAGCGUGGGGAGCAAACCGGAUUAGAUACCCGAGUAGUCC